UUAAGUUCAGCGGGUAGUCUUGCUUGAUUUGAGAUCGAGUUGAACAAAGGACGCUAUUAGACGCCUUCAUUUUCCUGCAUCAGUCGGGCACAAGAACAAUCGACCUUUAUGUUAGCUGCAGCAAUAGAUAUAAUCCGUUUUACGGGACUAAAUAAGUAAUGCUUAUAGCUCAGAAGAUGUGUCCAGCCGCACCUGCAUUU
rnacentral:misc_RNA from 1 species